AGGGAAAUAGCUACCCCUCAAUGA
rnacentral:tRNA from 1 species